rnacentral:rRNA from 1 species
GUCUACGGCCAUGCCACCCUGAACAUGUCCGAUCUCGUCUGAUUUCAGAAGCUAAGCGGGGUCGGGCCUGGUUAGUACUUGGAUGGGAGACCACCUGGGAAUACCAGGUGUUAUAGGCA